rnacentral:rRNA from 1 species
GACGAACGCUGGCGGCGUGCUUAACACAUGCAAGUCGAACGGAAAGGCCCUGCUUUUGUGGGGUGCUCGAGUGGCGAACGGGUGAGUAACACGUGAGUAACCUGCCCUUGACUUUGGGAUAACUUCAGGAAACUGGGGCUAAUACCGGAUAGGAGCUCCUGCUGCAUGGUGGGGGUUGGAAAGUUUCGGCGGUUGGGGAUGGACUCGCGGCUUAUCAGCUUGUUGGUGGGGUAGUGGCUUACCAAGGCUUUGACGGGUAGCCGGCCUGAGAGGGUGACCGGGCCCAUUGGGAACGGGGUAAGGCCCCGAACCCCACCGGGGGGAAGAGGGGGGAAAAUUGGAAAAAGGGGGGAAGCCUGAUGGAGGAACCCCGGGGGGGGGAAGGCGGCCUUCGGGUUGUAAACCCCUUUCGCCUGUGAAGAAGGGGGAGGGAAGGUAAAGGGUAAAGAAGCAACGGCUAAAUACGGG